CUCGUACUCCCUCCGUUCGGAAUUACUUGUCACAGAAAUGGAUGUAUCUAGACGUAUUUUAGUUCUAGAUACAUUCAUUUCCGAGACAAGUAAUUCCGAACGGAGGGAGUAGUUC
rfam:Triticum urartu cultivar G1812 contig935311, whole genome shotgun sequence.